rnacentral:rRNA from 1 species
AGAGUUUGAUCAUGGCUCAGGACGAACGCUGGCGGCGUGCUUAACACAUGCAAGUCGAGCGGUAAGGCCUUUCGGGGUACACGAGCGGCGAACGGGUGAGUAACACGUGGGUGAUCUGCCCUGCACUCUGGGAUAAGCUUGGGAAACUGGGUCUAAUACCGGAUAUGACCGCAUGCCGCAUGGUGUGUGGUGGAAAGAUUUAUCGGUGCAGGAUGGGCCCGCGGCCUAUCAGCUUGUUGGUGGGGUAAUGGCCUACCAAGGCGACGACGGGUAGCCGACCUGAGAGGGUGACCGGCCACACUAGGACUGAGACACGGCCCAGACUCCUACGGGAGGCAGCAGUGGGGAAUAUUGCACAAUGGGCGGAAGCCUGAUGCAGCGACACCGCGUGAGGGAUGAAGGCCUUCGGGUUGUAAACCUCUUUCAGCAGGGACGAAGCGUGAGUGACGGUACCUGCAGAAGAAGCACCGGCUAACUACGUGCCAGCAGCCGCGGUAAUACGUAGGGUGCGAGCGUUGUCCGGAAUUACUGGGCGUAAAGAGUUCGUAGGCGGUUUGUCGCGUCGUUUGUGAAAACCCGGGGCUCAACUUCGGGCUUGCAGGCGAUACGGGCAGACUUGAGUGUUUCAGGGGAGACUGGAAUUCCUGGUGUAGCGGUGAAAUGCGCAGAUAUCAGGAGGAACACCGGUGGCGAAGGCGGGUCUCUGGGAAACAACUGACGCUGAGGAACGAAAGCGUGGGUAGCAAACAGGAUUAGAUACCCUGGUAGUCCACGCCGUAAACGGUGGGCGCUAGGUGUGGGUUCCUUCCACGGGAUCUGUGCCGUAGCUAACGCAUUAAGCGCCCCGCCUGGGGAGUACGGCCGCAAGGCUAAAACUCAAAGGAAUUGACGGGGGCCCGCACAAGCGGCGGAGCAUGUGGAUUAAUUCGAUGCAACGCGAAGAACCUUACCUGGGUUUGACAUACACCGGAAAACCGUAGAGAUACGGUCCCCCUUGUGGUCGGUGUACAGGUGGUGCAUGGCUGUCGUCAGCUCGUGUCGUGAGAUGUUGGGUUAAGUCCCGCAACGAGCGCAACCCUUGUCUUAUGUUGCCAGCGCGUUAUGGCGGGGACUCGUAAGAGACUGCCGGGGUCAACUCGGAGGAAGGUGGGGACGACGUCAAGUCAUCAUGCCCCUUAUGUCCAGGGCUUCACACAUGCUACAAUGGCCAGUACAGAGGGCUGCGAGACCGUGAGGUGGAGCGAAUCCCUUAAAGCUGGUCUCAGUUCGGAUCGGGGUCUGCAACUCGACCCCGUGAAGUCGGAGUCGCUAGUAAUCGCAGAUCAGCAACGCUGCGGUGAAUACGUUCCCGGGCCUUGUACACACCGCCCGUCACGUCAUGAAAGUCGGUAACACCCGAAGCCGGUGGCCUAACCCCUUGUGGGAGGGAGCCGUCGAAGGUGGGAUCGGCGAUUGGGACGAAGUCGUAACAAGGUAACC